rnacentral:tRNA from 2 species
GCCCGGGUGGUGAAAUAGGUAGACACAAGGGACUUAAAAUCCCUCGGGGGAAACUCCGUACCGGUUCGAUUCCGGUCCCGGGCACCA